rnacentral:rRNA from 1 species
UGGGGAAUAUUGCACAAUGGGCGAAAGCCUGAUGCAGCAACGCCGCGUGAGUGAUGAAGGCCUUCGGGUUGUAAAGCUCUUUCUUCUGGGACGAUAAUGACGGUACCAGAGGAGGAAGCCACGGCUAACUACGUGCCAGCAGCCGCGGUAAUACGUAGGUGGCAAGCGUUGUCCGGAUUUACUGGGCGUAAAGGAUGCGUAGGCGGAUACUUAAGUCAGAUGUGAAAAUCCCGGGCUUAACUUGGGAACUGCAUUUGAAACUGGGUAUCUAGAGUGCGGGAGAGGACAGUGGAAUUCCUAGUGUAGCGGUGAAAUGCGUAGAGAUUAGGAAGAACACCAGUGGCGAAGGCGAUUUUCUGGACCGUAACUGACGCUGAGGCAUGAAAGCGUGGGGAG